CUGGAAUUCCACAGCUUUGCCUAUGCAAAGACGGACCCUUGCUGAGCUGAAGAAAACGGAACAAAGUCAAGAAAAAUGUGGCAUCCUGUGUGAGGAAACCAGGCUUUCCCUUGAGAAAUGCUAGGUGGGAAGCAGAUGUACAGCUGGCUUUACUUCUGAGCUGCAGGACAUGGAGCUGGAAGGGGGGCAGAAGUUGGAGCUGGAAGGCACCCACAUGCUUCACUGUCUCCAUCUACAAAGGAUCUUUUGCAAAAGACAGCUGUGUGG